AGUGAACGCUGGCGGUAGGCCUAACACAUGCCAGUCGAACGGCAGCACAGUAAGAGCUUGCUCUUACGGGUGGCGAGUGGCGGACGGGUGAGGAAUACAUCGGAAUCUACUUUUUCGUGGGGGAUAACGUAGGGAAACUUACGCUAAUACCGCAUACGACCUACGGGUGAAAGCAGGGGAUCUUCGGACCUUGCGCGAUUGAAUGAGCCGAUGUCGGAUUAGCUAGUUGGCGGGGUAAAGGCCCACCAAGGCGACGAUCCGUAGCUGGUCUGAGAGGAUGAUCAGCCACACUGGAACUGAGACACGGUCCAGACGCCUACGGGAGGCAGCAGGGGGAAAUAUUGGACAAUGGGCGCAAGCCUGAUCCAGCCAUACCGCGUGGGUGAAGAAGGCCUUCGGGUUGUAAAGCCCUUUUGUUGGGAAAGAAAAGCAGCAGGUUAAUACCCCGCUGUUCUGACGGUACCCAAAGAAUAAGCACCGGCUAACUUCGU
rnacentral:rRNA from 1 species